rnacentral:tRNA from 1 species
GCCCGGGUGGUGGAAUUGGUAGACACAGGGGACUUAAAAUCCCCCGGCUAUUGCAGCUGUACCGGUUCAAGUCCGGUCCCGGGCACCA